rnacentral:piRNA from 1 species
UGCUGUCGUGACCAAUGUCGAGAAUGUGA